AAAUUAGCUAUAAACAUAUUAAGACUGUCAAAGAGAUAAAAAUUAUGGAAAAUAAUGUCUUUUUCAUUUCUGGCAAACAAAACCACACAUAUGGAGAGACUUACUUAUAAAACACUUCAUCGAACUUAAAUAGCGCCAACAACCAAUUUGUGUGAAAAUCUCACAAGAAAUUGUAAAAUAAUUUUUGGGACGAUUCCAACAAGCACCACAACAACAGAAAAGCCCCAAUCCACUUGCAUGGUGUAUAUGUAUGUAGAGAGUCUUCGCAGCCACCGUCAAAAGGGAAAAUAACAAGCAAACAAACAAACAAAAAGUAUAAAGACAAAUCUAACCUAUGCACCGCAUUACGAAUUCUCCUUUGAGAUGUUGGUCUGGCUAUUUGCCACAGGCGGAGUUUCGAAGAUAAACAUAGAACAUAUGAAGCGGAUGAGCUCUUUGGAUGACUGAAGUGUAAAGUGAAAGAUUGUAUAAAUAUGUAUUUGUAAACAUAUUUGUGUGUGUAGGGAUGAACACGAAAAUACGAAAAACUAUAAGCGGCACGUUCGGAGCAAGCUGCGCACUGUGUGCUUUUCGGAAAAUUGGGGGAUAACAAAUUGAUAUCUGGACGGAAUCUUUGUGAAGCUGAUAAGAAGAUCUAAUGGUGGCUUAAGCUUGUUGCACAAAAUGAAGUUCAAGUGCGGAAAUAAACAGAGGAUGCCCGAUAGGUUGACAGGGCUGUUAAUAAACUACUACAUCCACUAGUUUGAAGAACUAAAAUCGCCAUUCAACAACUGAUUAAACUAGAAGUUGUUCAAAUAUUGCAUAUAUCAGCUGAUCAAUUGUUUACAGAACUCCCGAUAUUCCUAGCGUAUGUUCUGAUUCGAGCGAGUGUUUAUCGAGUGGGUGUAGGCUAUCCAUGUCAAGGAAAGUGAGAUAAAAUAUGAAAAAAAAUUCUUUGCGUAACACUCCCGUGGCGACCGCUUAUAAACUCGGAUCUGUAGUGUUUUAACUGUCGUCGUUGAACUUCAACAGCCAGGUUACAGCACCGAGUUGAAAAACUCGACAGUUGUAAAAUAAGUUAUAAAAUAUUCCUCAAAUAAGUUUUGGGAAUGCUUCCGAGACAAACGCAUAUAAGCCAAGAAUAAUUUCGGUUACGUAGAUUUAACUCUUGUGCGACUUCAAAAGUUGCCAAAUUGAAGAAUAGAGAAGAGAAACUUGUAGAUCCACAAACCGGCCAAAAGUUUAAGCGUAUCGCCCGAAUACAUGCAGACUUUCUAGCUCUGAAAAUUUUUCGGUAUUUCUUACUUGGCUGAGGUAUUAUUGCUAUAACAAUAUAAAACAUUUUACCUAUAGUUUUUAAGAAUGCUGCUGUGCUGAAAGCCUCUAACCGCACAUAAAUACAUCACUUGGUUGUUCAUAUUUUUGCCUCUUUGGUAAAUAAAAGACAACUUGACAUCUUAUAAAAGAAAUUAAUCUCUUUUACCCACAUAUUGUACCAGCAGAAGCCACUGUAUAUAGUAUGAAAAGAUGCGAACAAAUUCGAUUUGAGAAUGAUUUGUGAAGACAAAAAAAUUUCGGAGCAAAUUGUAAAUAUAAUCGACGGUUGUCAAGUGUGACAACAUGGAUUUCGCUGAGCAUCGAGGUGAAAAUGUGCAAGUAUUUGAUUUCACUUUAGGGAUUAAGAGAUAUUGAGAUUAUUAUCAUUCACCUUGUGAUCCAAAGAACAUAACAGUCACAACGGAGGGCAUGUUUGCCAUGUGCUUAAGCUGUUUUCAUUUACCGUUGCCUUAUUAUUGUACAAAAAUGAAAUACAACCAAGGAAAAUAAUAAGUAUACAGAUAUAUGUACGAAGUGUUGUGUAAAGAAAUCUCGAAUACGACUAACAACAUGAAGCAAACUGAGGUGGUUGCAGGUGUUUAGGCGUUUUGUAUUGUAAUUCAAUUUGUGGUAUGCGCUUCAAUGCCAUUCUACAAGUGGUAAGGCUUAAAAGCUUGAAGCUGACUCAGAGCGGUUGCUGAGGUCAACACCCAUUGAGUGGUAGUCAUGCUUCAAAAAAACCUUUAUAAUCUUGCAAAGCUUUUUUCAUUCCAACUAAAUUGCUAUUAGCCUAUAUGAAUAUGCCUAGAGGUCUUGCAUCAAACUUGAGAACUAUUUUUCAGCGUUGAUCGAUUUCAUCAUUUAGAUAUUUUCUACUAUAUGUGGUACACAGCUCAAUAAAAGUGUAAGUUAAUGUGUAAAAAAAAAACUAUAAUCUUCGGAAAGAGCUCCACCAAAUGCA